rnacentral:rRNA from 1 species
AUACGGAGGGUGCAAGCGUUAUUCGGAAUCACUGGGCGUAAAGGGUGCGUAGGCGGUUUGGUAAGUCUGAUGUGAAAUCCUAUGGCUCAACCAUAGAACUGCAUUGGAAACUGCUAAACUAGAAUACUGAAGGGGCAGAUGGAAUUAGUGGUGUAGGGGUAAAAUCCGUAGAUAUCACUAGGAAUACCGAAAGCGAAAGCGAUCUGCUGGGAAGUUAUUGACGCUGAGGCACGAAAGCGUGGGGAGCAAACGGGAUUAGAAACCCCGGUAGUCC